rnacentral:tRNA from 1 species
GCACUCGCUGGCGGACGUAGGCGUAUCCCGGGUCCUCCGGCGACCUGCGGGUGCCCCGGGGGCCCGGCAGGACGGUCUCCUCGUCCCGCGCGCCC